AUACGGAGGACGCGAGCGUUAUCCGGAUUCAUUGGGUUUAAAGGGUGCGCAGGCGGCCGUGCAAGUCAGCGGUGAAAGCCCGGGGCUCAACCCCGGAAGUGCCGUUGAUACUGCAUGGCUGGAAUGCGGUCGAGGCGGGCGGGACGGGGGGUGGAGCGGGGGAAAGCGGAGAUAUGCCACACAACGCCGAUAGCGGAGGCAGCUCGCCAGGCCUGCAUUGACGCUCGGGCACGAAAGCGUGGGGAUCGAACAGGAUUAGAUACCCUGGUAGUCCACGCCGUAAACGAUGGGCGCUCGUCGUCGGCGGCAGACAGUCGGCGGCCAAGCGAAAGCGAUAAGCGCCCCACCUGGGGAGUACGGUCGCAAGGCUGAAACUUAAAGGAAUUGACGGGG
rnacentral:rRNA from 1 species